AUGAAGUCGACCGGAGGAGAUCCGUCCGGAUUCGCCGCUGCGGCUUUACAUGCUUCUAGUGAUGCGAGCGAACAUGAAGAGAUUAAACCCGCUGAUGACAGCAACACCAUCUCAGACUAUGCCCAGGAACCAUUGAAUUUUUUUCCGGAACAAGAAUCAAACGAUGCUAGUGUUAGUACAGAAAAGAAACAGUCUGUGGUAUCCAAAUGCAAGUCGGUGGAAGAAAUUCCAAGAGAAGCAACCGUAAAAAGGUGCAAGAACAUCGAUUCCAAGAAGCUCUUCUCAAAUAACAACAAUAGUCCAAGCCUCACUGGUAUUCAGGCUCUCAGAAAGCCGCCAAGAAAGGGGGGCCAUCCUAUUCAACUUCGUGAGAGCGAAAUGUUUCAAGACAAAAAGCCUCCUUCCACAUGGAUAUGCAAAAAUGCAGCCUGCAAAGCUGUGCUUACCUCAGAGAAUACAUUCUGUAAACGGUGUUCGUGUUGUAUAUGUCACCUUUUCGAUGACAACAAAGAUCCUAGCCUUUGGCUCGUCUGCUCAUCGGAGACUGGUGACACAGAUUGCUGUGAGUCGUCCUGCCACGUUGAGUGCGCACUCCAGCGCCGAAAGGCAGGGCGCAUCGAUCUUGGGCAAUCUAUGCACCUAGAUGGUAACUAUUGCUGUGCUGCCUGCGGGAAGGUUAUUGGAAUACCUGGGUUCUGGAAAAGGCAGCUAGCGGUUGCUAAAGAUGCUCGUCGGGUUGAUAUUCUUUGUUCUCGUAUAUACCUAAGUCAUAGGCUUUUGGAUGGCACAACCCGUUUUAAAGAGCUGCAUCAGAUUGUACAGGAUGCAAAGGCAAAGCUGGAAACUGAGGUUGGUCCCCUUGAUGGGUCUUCUAAGAUGGCCCGGUGCAUUGUGGGCCGGCUUCCUGUUGCUGCCGAUGUGCAGAAACUUUGCUCUCUAGCAAUGGAGAAGGCAGAUGACUGGCUGCAGUCAAACUCUCAAGCAGAAACUAAACAAAUUGAUACACUUCCUACUGCCUGCAGGUUUAGAUUUGAAGAUAUUACAGCUUCAUCAUUAGUGAUUGUUCUGAAAGAAACUGCUUCCUCGCAGUAUCAUGCUAUCAAAGGCUACAAGCUUUGGUACUGGAACAGCAGAGAACCGCCUUCCACUGGGGAGCCUGUUAUUUUCCCCAAAGACCAAAGAAGGAUAUUGAUUUCCAGUCUGCAGCCCUGCACGGAGUAUGCCUUUCGGAUCAUGUCAUUUAUUGAGGAUGGUGAACUUGGCCACUCCGAGUCUAAGUGCUUUACAAGGAGUGUGGAGAUCAUGCACAAGAAUAUAGAGCACGGCGCAGAAGGUUGCUCAUCUACUGCCAAGAGAAAUGUCAAGAGGCAAAAUGGCAGGUCAUCAGGCUUCAAGGUGCGCCAGCUGGGUAAAGUGUUACGGAGGGCAUGGGAAGAGGAUGGUUUCCCCAGUGAGUUCUGUAAAGAUGAGAUUGAAGAUUCCUGCAAUCAGAGUGAUUCAGUGAUACUAGAGAAGGGUCAAGUUGCACAUGUUGUUUCACGCAAACUUGAUCUUAAUGAAACCUCAGUCCCAGAUUUAAACGCUGAGGUAGUCAUGCCAACAGAGUGCCUCCGGAAUGAGAACGGGUAUAGUUCAGGAAAGAAUGAUUUGAGGAAGUCCAAUGGCUGUGGUGAUUUUGCGACCUGCACGGAGGGGCAUGUCGGCGAGGCACCUGCAAUGGAAUCCCGAUCACAAAGUCGGAAGCAGACAUCAGACUUGGAGCAGGAAACCUGUGCAGAGGAUGGCAAUUUGGUCAUCGGUUCACAGAGGCACUUCUCCCGUAGGUUAGGUGAGCUAGAUAAUAACUAUGAGUACUGUGUGAAGACUAUUCGAUGGUUGGAAUGUUGUGGCCACAUCGAGAAAGAAUUUAGGAUGAGAUUCCUAACCUGGUUUAGCCUGAGAUCGACGGAGCAGGAGCGGAGGGUUGUCUUGACCUUCAUCCACACCCUCGUUGAUGAGCCCGGUAGUUUGGCAGGGCAGCUCCUGGAUUCAUUUGAAGAAAUUGUUGCCAGUAAAAGGCCAAGGACUGGUUUCUGCACUAAGCUAUGGCACUAA
rnacentral:rRNA from 1 species